rnacentral:lncRNA from 1 species
UCAUGGAGUGUGGUCUUACUGGAUUGGCAGCAACACCUAAGUUCACUGGACCACAGGUACUUCUUCUCCUUAUUAUUUGACAAUUCUCAGGGAGCUCAAUUUUUGUAACAUGAGCUGACCUCAACCUAAUGCUAAAUAUUUAUUUUAUUGCAUAUACAACUAUUACAGAACUAUCUCGAUGGCAAGUCCAACUGAUUUUUCUUGUUAAAUCUUGAGAGCACUGUGAUGCAAGUGAAAAUGAUGCUUGAAUGGGUUGGAGUAAUAAUAGAAAAAUAAGAAAGUUUAAAUAUUUACGAUUUGGAUAUAUUAUUCUAAUAAAAGUCUUUAUAUGUGGACAUGUUAAAGGAAAUACCUGAUAAAAUUCCACAUUCAACUUUUCUAAGUGAAUUAGGCUAAACUUUGACACUAAAAGUUAGAUAAAUCAAUAAUUAUGUAAUUUUCAAUAGUUUUGCUUUACAGGAAAGUAGAUAGCCAUUUGUCUUUGAUAAACAUCUUUACUUUGUAAUAGUAAUAACAAAUUAAUGUCAAGAGCAUAACUAUUCUUCCAAACCAUUUAAUAUGUCUAGAAUAAGUUUUUGUUACACAUAGCUUAAUUUUCUGUUCUGUUUCUUAUAUUUUCUUAUGUGUUGAAGACAAUGUUUGACAACAAAGGACAUGUAAAUCAAAGGAAAAUGAAUUUUAUCCAAAUAAUAUUUCACAUGUACAACCCUCCAACUAUAUAUUUUGCAAUUUUCCUUGAUAUUUUAGUAGCAAUUUUCACUUCAGUUCUUUCUAACAUUUGAACUGUUAAUUUGAAUAUUUGCAUAUUUGCAGACAAGAUCUCACUGGGUUCGAGCAUCUUUUAUUUAAGGUCAAAUGAUAUCUAAUGUAUGGCUAUUACUCAUUCUGGCUAAUGACUUUUGCUAAUUAUCAAACAUUGUAGAGGGAAGCCAUAGGGCUCGUGUGUGUAGGCACUUUAAACCUUGAUAUGACAUUUUAUUCAAUAUAAUGGAGUUUAAAAACUCUGCUCUAUUUUUCAAG